rnacentral:rRNA from 1 species
AUUGAACGCUGGCGGCAGGCCUAACACAUGCAAGUCGAGCGGGGUUUUCGGACCUAGCGGCGGACGGGUGAGUAAUGCGUAGGAAGCUACCCGAUAGAGGGGGAUACCAGUUGGAAACGACUGUUAACACCGCAUAAUGUCUACGGACCAAAGUGUGGGACCUUCGGGCCACAUGCUAUCGGAUGCGCCUACGUGGGAUUAGCUAGUUGGUGGGGUAAUGGCUCACCAAGGCGACGAUCCCUAGCUGGGUUGAGAGGCUGAUCAGCCACACUGGAACUGAGACACGGUCCAGACUCCUACGGGAGGCAGCAGUGGGGAAUAUUGGACAAUGGGCGCAAGCCUGAUCCAGCCAUGCCGCGUGUGUGAAGAAGGCCUUCGGGUUGUAAAGCACUUUCAGUAGGGAGGAAGGGUGUUGUGUUAAUAGCACAGCAUUUUGACGUUACCUACAGAAGAAGCACCGGCUAACUCUGUGCCAGCAGCCGCCGUAACAC